CUCCUGAGCUUGUGAUCCGCCCGCCUUGGCCUCCCAAAGUGCUGGGAUUACAGGCGUGAGUCACCGCGCCCGGCGGAGAUGCUUUUACUUCUAAGGGAAAUUAUGGGAACAGAGGAUUAGGGAAAAUGGUGUGAGCCAUUGUAGGAUGCAGCCCUUCUGCAGUGUUCUGUGGGAGAAACCCUAAGCAGAUAAUCAGCAUUUAUUGUGUCCUCAGUGACUGGUCCAUUCUAUGCCAUAUACAACUGUCUUUACAGAGCUUGCAGUCUGCUGAGGGGAACAUCCAAAACUAUCUGAAGCCCUGGGCUGAACCAGGCUCUGCAGACAUUGGUGGUGUCCUAGAAGGCUCUUGCUGAGGUCUUAUGUCUGAAAAGAAACCCUUGGAAACCCACUUGAGUCUGUCUCGCAUUUCACAUGAAACAAGGCUUCGUUCUGCAAAAAUAUCUGGGACCUUCACAUUCACAAGUGGAUUUUCUGCUCAGGGGAGAGCUACCAAUCGGUUGAAAGUUUCCUGUGUAAUUGCUGGGCCGCUGGGUUCUGUGCAUCUGUUCUUGGAGGCCACUGAAGUCACGUCCUGAGUUAGCUCUCAUCUGGGCCUUGGUUUGCUUCAUCUUUGGCUGGGCCUCAACAAAUCUCUUCACCUGAAAGGAACUCCUUCAAAUGAACUGGUUGCCAUAUGAAUUGAUGCUACACUUCGAGCGUUGCCGCAGUCAGGCGAAUUCAAGCUACAGAGAAGAGGCGAUUCACAUUUUUUCCUUCUCUCUUGUAUUAUUCCUCCGGCUCAAGAACCUGCCAGGUGAUACCUCAUAGAUGGAAUCUCCCUAUGUUCCCCAGGCUGAUCUUGAAUUUCUGAGCUCAAGCGAUCCUCCUGCCUUGGCCUCCCAAAGUGCCAGGAUUAUAGGCGUGAGCCACCAUGCCUGGCCAGAGAGCAUUUUAGUAAGGGUAAGAGAUCUCUCUCUCUUUCUCUCUGUCUCUCAGUCUCUUUCUCAUCCAUCAUGUUUCUAUGUGUAUAUACUGAGUUGCAAUGUAAAUGUAUUUCUUAUUGAGGUUCUCAACCAAGAAAGUUUGAAAACCACUACUCUAGUAGAAUUAGAGCAGAAUUCCAUCCAGGAGGAACAUUUUUCUUUUGUUUUAAAAAUUCAUAUACCUUCUUGGGGUGGUUUUAUAGAAAUGUUGAUUUCUCUGCUUACUACCCGAUUCAGCUCCAUGCCAACUGCUACUAGGGUGCUUAGGGUAGGGCAUGCAAAUGAGAAAAAUGAUUUGCAUAAUAAAGUUUUCACCACCUUUCCUGUGGGCAAGAGAGUUCAGGGUUUGGAGGCUCUGCAAAUAAGAGAGGAAUGUUGAGGAGAGGCUGCUGGAAGCUGAAGUUUGGGGGUUCAGAUGACAGAAGGAUGAAAGGACAAACACAUAAACAAAGCUGGUGGCAUGGAGGUAGGGGAGCAAGGAGAACCCAGAUAGUGAGAAAUUCUUUAAAAUUAGGGGGAAAGACGGCCGGGCGCGGUGGCUCACACCUGUAAUCUCAGCACUUUGGGAGGCAGAGGCAGGCAGAUCACAAGGUCAGGAGAUUGAGACCAUCCUGGCCAACACGGUGAAACCCCGUCUCUACUAAAAAUACAGAAAACAAAAAGUUAGCCGGGCAUGGUGGCGGCCACCUGUAGUCCCAGCUACUCGGGAGGCUGAGGCAGGAGAAUGGCGUGAACCCGGAAGGCGGAGCUUGCAGUGAGCCGAGAUCACGCCACUGCACUCCAGCCUGGGUGGCAGACCGAGACUCUGUCUCAAAAAAAACAAAAACAAAAACAAAAACAAAAACAAAACAAAAAAAACUUACGGGGAAAGGAAGGUGGCAGUAGAGGGAGGGGGUGAGGGAGUCCUUGAGAAAUGUUGGCACGGAUGUAUGAUAGUCAGUUUCAAGUUGUGUAUUCCAUGCUGCACUCCAUUACUUCCAAAUCCUCACACAAAUACUUAUUUUGCUCAUAACCUUGUGUUUGUGAUGUUCUGCAGAAAGAGGGCAAAAGACAGUGGUCCCAGAACUCCUAAAAAGGAGCUGAGCAUGUCGGUUAGGAUCCAGAGAACAGCCACGAAGCAGGAUUGACCCAAGUAUGGAAGCUAGGUAACCCCUUUCUCUCAAAUAUGCCAGGGGAAAUGACAUUUGAAAAGAUAAGGAUAAAUUCUGAUGUUCCAAGUCUCAAUGUCCUGUAGCCAAAGAACACCAGGAACACAUAUGUGUUAAUAGUUGAACAAGUUGGGUCUACUACUCAUUGCAGCUGCAGCGGGGGAGAACUUACAUUGUGGGGAGCUGUGGGGCGUCUCAGUGAGUGGAUUUAUAAAGGCUUGCAGGCUUUGGUCUUGUGUUGGGUGAUUUUAGGGGAGGUUUUAAGAAAGCGGGCUUUGCUCUAAUUGAAUGCUGUCAGGAAGCGGAGAUAAUUCUAUGAUUGGUUAUCCUAACUAUCUUAUGCAUAGGGUGGGCAGGCUAGAAUGAGGCUGAAACCUUAGUUGGUAAAGCAGCAGCAGUUGCCCACAUUAGCUUGGAGAGGGGGACAUCUGGUAUUUCGUGGGUUGGACAAUAUUCCUGCUUUGUCUGUGUUCACACGUAUUGAGUGGUCUUAUUUUUGUCCUGAUCCGUUAUGGGCACAGAGUGGCCUUGUUUGGUGCUGAUGGUCCAUAAAGUUAUUUGUGUUCAACAAAAAAAUACACCAAAGUGUUGCUCAUAGUACCAGGCCUGUUCCCAGAUAAUCAGGGUCUGCUUGUCUCCUCAGUAGUAUGGUCGUUUGAAUCAUUUUACUUGAAUAUUAAGAGACAGGGUGAGCCCAGGGAGUUGUGAGAUUGGGGUCAUCAAGAUGACAAACGCAUAUUUUUAUGCAUACAUAUGUGAUGUAGUUUAUGUAUACAUAAAGGUUUCCUACAUAGUUGUUUAAUGUAUGUUGUUUAAUAUACAUGUUAAGUACCAAGUUCCCUCUGUGAAAGGAAGGCAAAUUUACAUCUUCCUCAUUAAUUGAGAGAAAUUCCACAAUCUCUCUUGUGACUUUCAUUAACUAUCUUCAAAUUUGCCCAUCAAGAAAUUAGGGAGCUGGGCACCUGACUCAAAAUUUUCUAGUAUAAUAUGAGUGACAAGGUCAGAUGUCUGUAAGGAUGGAUGGAACUGAUUACCUCCACAAAUUAGGAUGGAAUCUUGUAGAUACGGAGUUGCAGCAUUCUUUGUGUGCUGAGAGCUAGAAACCCUGCGGAUGGCCUGAAACACGCAGUUUCCAUGAGUCAGGUGGCUGGGCUGGGGAAUGGUGCUGGCAAUAUAAUGUUUGUGUGGUUAAAUUCAGCUGAGCUCCACUUGAAAUACGGCCGGCUGGGCUUCAAAGGAAAACAGAACUAUAAUGAAUCAUUGCACACUAGAGUGGGUUAAUACCAUAAUAUCACUGAGAAAUCAUUUGUAAUAAUGGUGAAUUAUACAACACAACAAUAUGCUGACUUUAAUUCCAGUGCCAUACGGCUUUUGGUUUACUUUUAUGCCUUUGGAGGGGAUAGGUUGCUGUGGUUUAAGGUUUUUUGCAUGAAGAAGAUCAUAAAAGCAGGAUGUUAUUUUAUUAGGAGAAUAGAAAUCUCAGUAAAAUAUAAACCUAGGACAUAAAAUGGAGAUGGAGGAGGAUUAGCAAAUGCAAGAUGAUGUUUAUUAUUGUGUAGUCAAUGAGAGUUGUAGUACAUUUACCCCUCCUUUUUGUAGUUCCCAGGGCAGUGGGUGACUUCAGAAUGCCUGGCUUCUGCUCUAGGGCUGCAGCAUUCAGUGCAAACUUGUCCCUGGGUAUGCUGCUUACACAUCCCCACAAAGAAGGUUAUGUUCCUUGUUUUUCAGAAAAGAACUCAGGUUGAGCACAUCACCCUACUUAAAGUACACAGGACUAGGCCAGGCAUGGUGGCUCAUGCCUGUAAUCCUAACACUUUGAAAGGCUGAGGUGGGCGGAUUGCUUGAGCCCAGGAGUUCGAGACCAGCCUGAGAAACACGGUGAAACCCCGUCUCUACUAAAAAAGCCCCACAAAAAGCUAGCUAGGUGGGGUGGUGCGCACCUGUAGUUCCAGGAACUUGGUAGGCUGAGGUGGGAGAAUCACCUGAACCUGGGAAGUUGAGGCUGCAGUGAGCUGUGACCACUGGACUCCAGCCGGGGCAUUGGUGUGGGACCCUGUCUCAAGGAAAAAAAAUAUGCAGGACUAAAAGCUGUGACUUGUAAGCGUCAAACUCAUUUCAAAUCACCAUAGGUGCAGGUCAGUUGGCAUUUUACUCAGAGAAGUGAAUUUACCAUUGCCCUUCUCUGUAACUCUGUUCCCCACUGUAGCCAAAUGCUCACACCUAUGUCACUUGUGAACUCCGUGCCAGCCAGGUGCUGGGAUUGAUGUCCCCAAAGUCCUGCAAUUGGCAGAACUACAUGAUCGGUUGUGCAUCUGCUGGUGCCUGGCUGGUGACUGUCUAGCUUCUUGGCCCGAGGUCCUACUUCUUGUUGUCUGUUUUUCUGAACCCUGGUCUUUGUUACCCUCUGACCCGGGGCACCUGUGCACCCAUUAAAUCCUGCCUGCCCCUUGCCUUGUGACCCCUGUUCUCUAUUCCCAGGUGCUCUGCCCCAUGGGGACUUGCCCCAGGUUCUGGACUAUGUGCUUUAUUAUCUCUUUUAGCUGUCCAGAUUUGAAUAACUUGGUUACUCUUAUUUGUUUGUAGAUUAUAACAUAAACACAUUUUAUUUUUCAAAUAUAAAUUUAUAUUAAAAUGUUGAAUAUGCUUUUAAACAUACAUAUAUUUCCCUGUCACUAGAUCCUGAGACAUCUUUGAUAUGCCUCUCUGAGAGGGUCAUUAUAUCUACCAGCAAGGUGGUUCUGAGUCCUAGAUGUCCAUUAGAACCCCCUGGGGAGCUUAAAAUAAUGCCUGGGUACUAUUCCCCAAACUGAUUUAGCUGCUCUAAAGGGUGGGCCUAGGCAACCACUGGUAAUUCUAAUGUGUUGCCUGAAUUGGGGACCACUAAGCUGGCACCAUCAGCAUUUUUAAUGUUAGGUGAGGCAUUAAAACGUACUUUUUAGGUAUCAUUGCCAGAUUUAGCAAAUAAAAAUACAAGAUGCCAAGGAGAAUAUGAAUUUCAGAUAUAUGACAAAUCAUUCUUUAGUACGUGUCCCAUGCAUUAUUUGGGACAUAUUUUUACUAAAAAUUAUUCAUCAUUUAUCUGAAAUUCAAAAUUAACUGGGAAUCCUGCAUUUUACCUGGCAACUCUACUUUUAAGGAGAAUCCCAUAUUUUGGAGAAUUUUUUUCAUUUUACUCAUUUGAUUGAUAAUCAAACUAAUAUGUUCUUUGUAUUCAUGCUCCAUUGAAAAAGCACCUGAAAUCAAGUUUGUGUGUUUACACCUAGGAAUUUCUGAAGGAGAAAGCCUUAUACAUCCAAAGAAGCCAACAUGUCAGCUAGCAGUGGAUUUCUUUCUUUCUUUCUUUCUUUCUUUCUUUCUUUCUUUCUUUCUUUCUUUCUUUCUUUCUUUUU